CCAACACCACCAUGCCCACUAAACCAUGUCCCACAAUGCCAUGUCCACACGUUCCUUGAACAUCUAAAACAGUUGUAUCCCUGAGAGCACAGCGCUGGCUGCUCCCCUUGUGUCCACAGAUUCCCACAGUCACCGGUGGAGUCUCUUCUACUACAGGUACAGGGUGCCAACUUCAAACUGUGGUCUUACCGCAAAGAUGACACACUACGUGUUUUACUGACUAUCUUUCUCAAAGGAUUUUAAUGGGAAAAUAGCAGCUAGCAUUCAGAAAAGGAAUAUAGUAACUUUAUAUUUUUACAAUUCCUUGGUUAGUCAUUUGAUAACACUUCCCCAUAAAGUUACAUGCCUACAUACUACAGAUUUAGGUUUUUUGUCAUCUCCAAUUGAGGAAGCUCUUCUAUCUGCCAAGUACUACUUUUAACCUAUUUUUACCUACUCCUUUUUACCUAUUCAAGGACUAUUAAUUUCUGUAACGGUUUUCUGAAAGACAUGUCAGUACAGUUCUCAUUUCUGAAGUUGCAGAGAUAGCUUAAUGAUAACAAAUUAAACUUUACCAGAUUGCAUGUGGGAAACAUUUGGACUUAAUUGAAUCCCUUGUUUCUUCCAACUCAAGUAUCAUUUGCAAAUACAUAUAUCUACACAGACUUACACUUCACAAUUUGUACAUAAAUAUAUUCAAGAUCAGCUCAUUCUGAUCAUAUUUAACAGUGGGAGGGAAACAGAGUUUCUCUUGCUUGGACUCAGAGACACCCUUGAAUUUGCGCCACUUGGGGUCCUUAUGUUCUUCUUUCCUGUUACUUCAGUCAUGGCCACGAGCUAGGUGUUGCAUCUUUUCCUCCUAAUAUGAAUAUGUGAUAAUGGAAAAUAACUAAAGCAAAGUUAGGCAGCAAGUACUUACCAAUAUCUAUGGGGUGGAAUGAAUUACUUGCUCUUCUGUGAUACUUCUGGAAGACAUUUAAAAAUAACAUAAAACUGGUGUUAAUAAUUAUCUUAGUUACCCAGGCUAGAACAUCUUCCUCCGUAGGAGUCAGAUGUUAACAGCCUAGUCAGUAGAUUUUUUCUUUUAUUGAGUUUAUUAGCUGUUAUUCUUAAACAGCUGUUCACCAGAUGGUUUGUUAUUUCUUGAUUCCAUCUCUUGCCUAUAACAAAGAGAUAAAGUUUACACUUUAAAGUUCCAGUUGCUACAUUUAGGCAUAGAUUUUUUACCAUCUUUUUUCCUUCACAGGAAAGGUUUUAACCCAUGACUUAUAAUCAUGCACCAUAGCGUCAACUUCAGGAAACAUGAAAUGCAACAGUUAAGCCUCAGUUAUAGAAGGGUAUGAUUAUCCUCUACUAUUUUAUUGGUUUGGGCCAGGAUAGAGUUCAUUUUCUUCAUAGUAGCUUGUAUGGGGCUAUAUUUUGGAUUUGUACUGAAAACAGAGUUGAUAACACAGGAACGUUUUAGUUACUGCUGAGCAGUGCUUACACAGAGUCAAGGCCUUUUCUGCUCCUCACACCACCCCACCAGCGAGUAGGCUGCAGGUGCACAAGAAAUUGGGAGGGGACACAGCCGGGACAGCUGACCCCAACUGACCAAAGGGAUAUCCCAUACCAUACAACGUCAUGCUCAGCAUAUAAAGCUGGUGGAAGAAGGUGGAAGGGGGAACAUCCAGCAUUUGUCUUCCCAAGUAACCGUUACGCAUGAUGGAGCCCUGCUCUCCUAGAGAUGGCUGAACACUCACCUGCUGAUGGGAAGUGAAUGCAUUCCUUGUUUUGCUUUACUUGCAUGUGUGGCUUUUGCUUUACCUAUUAAACUGUCUUGAACUCAACCCACAAGUUUUCUCACUUUUAUCCUUCUGAUUCUGAGCAAGCAGCUGUGUGGGGCUGAGCUGCUGGCCAGGGUUAAGCUACAACAACUAUUUUCCUUCAACGUUACUUCUACUCUGGAAGAAUCAACAUUUUACUAUUCAUUAUUCUCCCCUCUGAGAUUUCUCCUAUACUUACACACACUUGUUUGAAAGAACAUGACCGAAAUCAGUAACUCCAGCUCUAGGUUCAGCUGCUUUGUUAAGCUGUUGUCUGGUAGAGGAUUACCCUGUACAACAAACCAGAGAGCCCCACCAAGGCCACGAAGGUGCUUGGUUUUGGAGCAUUUUCCUAGCAGUUGAUGGAGAUCCAUGGAAUCUCUUUUUAAGACCAUCUAUUCCUGAAGUAUGAAUUCUUUGUCAGUGUCUUCGUUUGCUUCAUGAUUUGGACAGCCAUCUCUUGUUCCUUCUGUUUUAUAGUAGGUUUUGGUGGGGUUUUUUUCCAAUUAAAGAUAUUAUCAGUUUCUUGAACUUGCAGUCUUUUCCUACUUUUUAACUGGGCUUCCUGGGCCAUUAUCUGGUUCUCAUUUUUGUGAUUAGCCUCUGCAGCAGGCCAUCAUUACUAAUUAGCGUUUUCACAGGAGCUUUGAUGUAUUCUACUUGCAUAUUCAGCUUCUCCCUCUUACUUACACCUGUAAAAAUGCUGUGGCACUUCGUCCUGUAUUUGAGUAGCAAUGUGAAUGGCAUUCCUUACAGCCUGCACCUCCCUAAAGUUUCUACAUUAUGUUGAUGGUGCACCAAUAUCUUACACUACCUAAGAGGUCUCAGUUUAAGUCAACUUUCAAGUUUGUUAAACUUGAAACUGCAAACUGAAAAGCUGAGAAGUAACAGAUUAACUUAAACUCACGGAGUUACUGCUAUUCCUUGUUGCUUUGCUGAUCACCAUCUUAUUAUUUUUUUAAUGAUACUGGAAAGUCACACUGGUAAGGGCAACAGUACCCAUAAAAAUCAAACACCCCACUCAUAUUCCUGCAUAUUUUGUUUCUUUAGAGGACACUGGUGGUUUCAUGGUUCGUUCCCACGUUUCUGCAGCCAGGGCCCCAGGGUCUGAGCUACAGCUCUUCUCUGCUCCAGGUCGGGCCAACAACGGUCAUUUCCCAAGGAUGCAUGGAUGACUUAAGGGCAGGAGUAACCUGUUGUGCAAAAGCCAGCCUGGCCCCAUCCACCACAAUGCUGCUGCUCUGCUCCAGGGGACACCACUGCGGGGACGGCCCUGCGCCGGUUCAACGGACAGGGCCGAACCCCUCAGCCGUGCUGGAGGCACCCCAGGAAAACGUGCUCAAGGAGGGGCAGAAAACCCCAGUGAGAGCGUGUGAGGAGGAGGAGGGACCGGCAGUGAAAAGCUCCCGCGUGCUGACCGUGACCUGGUAAUUUUCUCCAGGUUGAAGCUGUUUUGCCCAUGAUGGAAACUGCCUGCAGGGAACCAGGCACCAGCCUGAGCUGGAGCAAGACCCAGACCCGCAGGUGCACCCGAGCAGCACUCGGGGCCUGACUCUCCAUCGACGAAGCCCUCUUCACACUUGCUGAAGGCCGCCUCGUCGCCUCCCCCCCAGUGCUGAGCCCAGAGGAUCUCCGAGGCAGGUCCUGACCGUGCGGGCAGCUUCAUCCCGGCCCCGUGGGCAGGUGAAAGCGUGACCCACUGCAGCCCCGCUGCCUCGCCAGGCUCUGCCCCAUCAGGGGCUCCUCGUCCGGGAGGCGACUGCGGGCUGAGCCCUGUGCUGCAGCGUGGCCGCUGGCAGGAGUGAGAGCCGGAGGGACCCGCGGCCGAGCAGCGCCUGGGGCCUGACUCCUUGGGGAUGAGCCCACAGCUGCUCCCGCUCCCCUGAGGCCCCCCCCGCCCGAUGCCGAGGGGAAAGGCCUGUGCUGGGCGACUGCCGGGACGCUGCCCGAUCCUGCCUGGCUCCUGCCCCCUUCCUGGGGGUGGGAGUGCAGCUCCUGCUCGCUGCGGCGCCGGGGGGGCUCUUGACAUGGCUGUAAAUCAGUCGCUGCCAUCACUUGAUUGGACGUAGGAGCCAGUUCAGUCCCAGGUUCGUCUGCAGCACGUGAGGGCGACCUGGCCGGUGGCACUGCCCCCACAAAUUGCCGAGCAGGAGCCACGCACGUGCUGGGACACAUCGUUUCUGCCCUUGAAAGGGGAUGGGGAGAGACCUGCCCAGGGUUUACCGAAUCCCUGAGGAAGAAGCCGGGCUGCCGGCGCUGAGGCCGAUGCUGCCGCCUGCCCUGCUCCUGGCCCGGGACAGACCUGCCUGUCCGUAAGCUAAUUACAGCUUCUGCUCGUUAGAGCAGUGUGGCCUUGGACAAGGUCGUAAAUCAAUCCCUGUCAUAAGAAUGUGAACUGUCAUAAUUUACAUUGUCUAAAUACGGACUACUGAGUUAGUGACUAUUCUGGCUGUUGUACGCACCUUGAAUAAAGAGCUGGACC